rnacentral:lncRNA from 10 species
GCGCAGGUGGCUAGGUCGGGACCGGGCGCUGGUGGGUGCUGUGGGGUGGGGGAGGACACUCCAGGGGAAUUGGUGUCACAGAACGCUUAUCCCUGCGCAGGCGCUGUCGUGCAGAGCGCCGACCGCCAUUUUGGGUGCGGGCAAGCUGCCCUUUCCUUUUACUUCCUUGCGAGUCAUAGAGCUGUAGGGGGAUAGACGUCUUCCCGCACUCAGGCGCCGGUUGAGGCUGCGCUCCUGGCGAAGGACAGGUGCUCCUUUCAGCCGGUUAACGUUCAGCUCAAGACCGGAUUAAGUCUCUUGCUCUCCAAAUAAAAUUGUAAAGGUUUGGAAAUAUAGAACCACAUUUUUACCAAAAACCUACUAGAGAGCAUUCGUCAGCUUGCCCUUUUCGCCCCGAAAAACGACUUUUUCAUUCACAGCCUGUCUCUUCCUCUUUUUAAAUUUAUGCCGACAGAGGAAGAAGCUGAUAUUUAACAAAUAACAAGAGGUUGCGAUAAAUAGAAUUUAAGGUGGGAAAGCAGCCGCCAAACUGACAAAUCGUCUUCGAGACCGACAAGAAAAUAGUAGUCCGGAAUUUGGCUAAUGGAUGGAGAAGGUGGUCGUUUUUCAUAGACCCUUACGGAGAAUAUCUAGUGAAGCUAAAGAGAUCACCAUAAACUUAUGCAUUCAAACGCAUUUCUGGAACAGAGGUCGUAACCGAUUUUGUUUCCAUCAUCAGUCCUGAACAGUUGAUUAUUUAUAUAAUCAACUGUUAUUUAUAUAAAGGUAAUAAAAAUAUUACCUUUCCUCCUCCUUUACAAUGAAUAUCUGUUAGAACACCUGCCAGUGUAACAAUCAGACUACAAGGCUACAGGAUUAUGAUUACUGUCUCGGAUGAUGAGCCCGGGGUCCUACAAAUCAUGACCCCCGCCGGCCCCUCAUUCUGCCCAUAUUUGCCAAACGUCUGCAUCAGUAAUUUGAAUAAUUUAAAAUAGUUCCAAAACAGCAAAGCUCAGCAGUUACGCAAAGAAACAAGAAUGGAAAACAUCCCCUCAGGCACAGAGAAGUGUCCACCCCUUUGGGUGGAGGAAUUAUACAAAUCAGGAGAAAGAUAAGGACAAUAGCAGUUCAUCACGAUUUAUCCCGCCUCUGCAAUGUUCUAGACAAAUUAACUCGGAGCGCUCCAAUGGACCCGCAUUUGUCUCUUUACUAUUCAAUCGCUGUAAGAUAUACGGAGACUGCAUCACUUUAAAUGGGAGUAUCAAUUGCUUUGUGGUUAUGCUGGAUUUUGUGUUAUUGCUCAGUCACUAAAAUUUAUCUAGACAUAUUCUUUUGCUACAUGAGGACCAGCGUUC